UAACCCAAUGUGAAGUGAAAAUCCAAGCUGAUGACACCAUUAGAUUGUUUAAUAAUCCAUAGUUCCAGAUGGAAGGCCCAGAUGGGAGGCCUCCUUGACUUUAUAUAGGCAGAGUCCACUCGAAUCCAGAAUGGCUGUAUUUUGCUUUUAACUAGUCAGCGGGUGGAGAGAGCCCUGGAUUGGGUAGCUGUGCGUCUCUACCAGAAGCAGACUUUAGGUGGCACUGCAACGCAACUUUAGCGUACCGCUGCGCGUGAUAGCGCGCAGAAAACCGGGAAGAUUUAGUCCUUUGAGAAAUUAAGCCCUUUAAGGGCAGGAGUACAAAAAUCACCGCUUAGAGGUUGCUGUAGAAGCCGUGGGGCCACGGACCAUCCUCUCCCGGGACCGAAUGGCUAAAUGGCAAGGAUGGUGUGGUAGGAAAUGUGUACCUGGUAAUGGUUUGCAAAAUCUUGACACAGGAAUCACCACUGUUUCAUGUGUGUGGGAGAUAAGAGGGCAGGGAGAGAGAAUGAAAAGCCUGAGGAAACACAAUAAGGGGUGUUUUCAGGUCUGAAAAGAACACCUGAAAGUACCAAAGCCAUCUUGCCAUGAGCAGCCUGAGAAUGGAGACGAUGACUGAGGGUGGCAGAGCAGAAAGAUGGUAAGAGCCUGCAUCUGUAAUAACUGGGCUGGCCACUGAAGCUGCUUACCCAACCCUCUCCCCCUUGGUAAGUACAGUUAUCCCAAUGAAUGAAUUCUGAAAAAUUGUUUAAGGGUGUUUAAAUCUGGUUUUUAUGGCUUGAAGCCAAAAGCGUUCUAGCUAAAAUAACUUGCCAUGUAGUAAAUGUUUAUUAAACAUUUUUAAUAAACAUUAAUGUACAUUAAACAUAACUUGAUUUUAAAGUGGUGGUCUUAGAAAUCAAAGGGUGUGUCCCUUGUGAGUCUGUCAUGCAAUAGGAUUUGGAACAUGAAAUACAGUAUUCUUAUGGUCAUCCCCUAUAAGCCCACGCUUAUUUUGUU
rnacentral:lncRNA from 1 species